UUUUUAAUCGAUGCAUGUGGCAACACUUAUGUUCUGUCAUCUUGCAACCGUUUUGUUAUUUUACAAAUAAACAGAAUUCUGCAUAAAAUUAAAUGUUUAUUUACAGCAAAUUUUGAUAUAAUUUGUUAAAAAUAAAUACAUAUAGAAAUAUGCAUAAUAUAAUUAAAAUGUGCUAGAAAAUUAAGAAUAACGAUAAAAAUUAGUUAAUGAAAUAAAUCUUUUUGCUUGGAAACGAUGCGUACAAGAAGUUGAGAAAAUUAUAUGAAAGAGAAUGACGGAAAAACACGAACAGAGUUGUCGAACAAGAAUUGCUCGUGUGAACGCAAUUGGCGACAGCAAAAGAGAAUCGCCCGAGAAUUAGCAACAGAAGUUGCCUGUGUGAAAGUGGACUAUACAAGCAAAUUAAUACCCGCAACUUCAAUAGAUUAAAGAAACUUAUAGCCAAAGGAGAUUAUCAAAUGUCAAAUUUGUUGUAUUUGUUUUUUUCUUGAUGAAAAUAAAUUGUUAUGAACCAAAAUUUUUACUCCGGAACGAAUAAAUAUUUAUAAUUACGUUGAAACCCUCAAAAAAGGAUAAAAUAAGAAAUAUUAAAGAUAUGGAAGAGAAACAAAGGAGAAACAAGUGACAAAUUCUUAAGGGAGAGCUUCAGGAUGAGUCGGGAAUCAUUCUCAAUUUUAUGUAAUGAGCUAUCACACAUUGGCAAACGUAAUACUACAUACAGGGAAUGUAUUCCAUUAGAAAAAAGAAUAGCUAUCGCUUUGUACACCCUUGGUUCUUCUGCUGAAUAUAGAACAAUUGGGAGACUAUUCGGGGUUUUCAAAGCGUCUGUAUGUUGUAUUCUUAAAGAUUUUUGCCGAGGAGUGUGGGACAAACUCUCGUCUAAAUAUUUAACCUGCUCAUUUCUCACGCAAGAAAAAAUUACGGAGUGCGUUGAAGGGUUUACAAAGAUUGGAUUUCCACAAUGUCUGGGUGCAGUAGAUGGAUGCCAUAUUGAGAUUAGGCCCUCCGCAUCUGAUGCUGUUGACUAUUUCAACUACAAAGGUUGGUACUCAAUGGUUUUACUAGCCCUCGUAGACUACAGAUUUAUGUACAUUAAUGUUGGAGCACCUGGUCGUUGUAAUGAUUCUCAAAUAUUUGAAAAAUCCAACUUGAAAAGAAUUUUGCAAAACCCUCUGCUUAAAGAGAAUGCGAAAAAAAUAGUGAAACUAAUGUCCCAAUUGUAGUUCUUGGGGACUCAGCAUUUCGCUUUUCUCCGUCUAACCCUAUAACCAAGCAGCUGAGGAUUACGAGAAUAUUUUUAAUUACCACUUAUCUAAAUCUUGAAGGGUUGUGAAAAAUGCAUUUGGUCACCUAAAAGCAAGAUUUAGAAGGAUAGGGGAAGGAAUUGACAACGAUAUUAAAAACGCAAUAUCAAUAAUAAAAUGUUCUUGCGUCUUGCACAAUUUUGUAAAUGAAAUGAAUGACAACAUAAACACGAAAUGGUUGGAAGUGCAAAAUAAUUUCGAAAUCGCUCGUCCACGAGAGCAACCAGAUCCAUUAUUCAUUUCUGGAACCGACGACCCUAAUGCUGAGAACAUCAGAAAAUCAAUAGCUCUAUUUCUACGUUCCUCGACUGAAGGCGGAAAUUCUUCUUGCGAAUCUAUAGAAGAGUUAUUUGGGGAGAGCGCACACUCCACAACUUCGUAAACUCUGCCGAGAAUGCUAUUAAUUUUCGUAUAAUAUUCCCAAGUCGAAGGGCUGCCACCAGAGGGACCAACAAUUUUCUUCUCAUCUCUGUAAAUAGGUACAUUUUUGAAAA